AUUGAACGCUGGCGGCAGGCCUAACACAUGCAAGUCGAACGAGUGGCGGAAGGGUGAGUAAGGUCUGGGCAACUGCCUGAUGGAGGGGGAUACCUACGGGAAACGAUAGCUAAUACCGCAUAGCAUCGGAUGUACCCAUAUGGGAUUAGCUAGUGGGUGGGGUAACGGCUCACCAAGGCGACGAGCCCUAGCUGGUCUGAGAGGAUGACCAGCCACACUGGAACGGAGACACGGUCCAGACUCCUACGGGAGGCAGCAGUGGGGAAUAUUGCACAAUGGGCGCAAGCCUGAUGCAGCCAUGCCGCGUGUAUGAAGAAGGCCUUCGGGUUGUAAAGUACUUUCAGCGGGGAGGCGUUACCCGCAGAAGAAGCACCGGCUAACUCCGUGCCAGCAGCCGCGGUAAUUC
rnacentral:rRNA from 1 species